rnacentral:lncRNA from 1 species
UGGGAUUAUAGGCAUGAGCCACCACACCCAGCCUGAAUUCUUCAUGGAUCUGAUGCCUACAUGCUAUCUGCCUGGGUGCCACUGGAGCUCUGAAUUUUACAUACCAGGAGAAGAUUAGGACACCUAGAGAGACACUAGGGGUUCCUUUGCACAGAAGAAAGGCCACAUGAAGAUGGGGACACAGCAAGAAGGCAGCGGCAGCAAGCAAAGGAGAGAGGCCUCUGAGGAAACCAACCCUGCCAAACACCUGCUGCUUGGACUUCUAGCGUCCAGAACUGUGGACUCUUAUCAAUACCGAACAUUGAAAUCUGGAGGCUCGGCCAUCAGAACUCUUACACAGCACAGAAGACGAGUUUCACGGGUCACUCAGCAUCUACUGGAAGGAUGGAAAAAAUCAAGAAUUUGGCACCCUAAACACAACAUGAGAAGGUUUCACUCAGUAAUGGCCUCCUGAAAACAACUUAAUCUUCUUGGACAAGACUCUGAACUGAAAUCAAGGUUUCAAAAUAUUUUGUUGUGAGUGAUGAAGCUGUCUGGACCUAACUUUUCCGAGAGGCCAAGAAACCAUUCUGUAAUCCUGCAAAAUGGUUUCUGAAGAGUCUGGUGAAAUGCAACUGUUAUCCCUCACUUUGCAUUUUGCUCCAACGAUUCUGAGGUGCAACUUAUGGAUGAGACUGAUUUCUUUCCAUAUUGCUGUAGUAAAUUGGUUUUUGUUGUUUUCAUGGGCUUUGUAAAUCUUGCUGAUAAAAUCCAUAAGUGAUUUGCUAACAUAAAAGCUAACUGGAGAAACAUAAAAAAUAAUUCAAAAAUCAUUUCAUCUUAUCAACUGGAUUAAAAUUAAAAUUAUUAGAAAUACUAAUGAUAGUAUUUCUUUCCAGAGUGGUAAUGGAGUUUUUUUCCUUUUUAUUAAUAGCCCUUAAUGUAUCUUAUGGGAACAAUUAAUAGACAUUCUUCAAACUCCUUCAGAAAGCCCAAUGACAAGUGGCAUUUUUACCAGCGAGAUUCUCAGCGAAUAUAUAAUUCUUUGUCAAUAUUCAAAUUAAGGCAGAAACUCUAGAGUCUGAUCUGUAUCUAUUUCAUCUUUUAAAUGUGUUGAAAGGCCUCUGAGUGCAUCUUAAGCAGUUGGUAAAUAUUUUUCAGGUCAUCACAUACAGGAACUGGACCCCAGUUUUUCCUAAAAAAAUAUGUAUGUACAGAUGACAGAAAAAAAAUUGCCUUCAGAAAAUGGAACCCAUGUGCCAAGGCCUGGUCAGUAAAAAAAUCCCUAAUUUUUGCUUGUUUUAUAAUUUGUCUUAGGUUUUCUCUGACACUAGUGGAUUUCUUUUUUAAGGCAGUCAUAGUUCUAAUACUGUUCAGGCCUUGAAAAAUCCAAUCUAGGCUGGAUUAUGGUGGCUCACACUUGUAGUCCCAGCACUUUUGGAGCUCUGGGUA